rnacentral:rRNA from 1 species
GGGUCAGUAGGUUGGUCGUGCCACUGGUACGUACUGGUCUCACUGAUUCCUCCUUCCUGAAGAACCGUAAUGCCAUUAAUUUGGUGUUGCGGGGAAGCAGGACUGUUACUUUGAAAAAAUUAGAGUGUUUAAAGCAAGCUAACGCUUGAAUACAUUAGCAUGGAAUAAUGAAAUAGGACGAUCGAUCCUAUUUUGUUGGUUUCUAGGAUUGACGUA